CUUUGCAAAUUUACUGCUUGUAGAGGGCAAAUAUUAGCUUUCCCAAGACUCUCCUAAUAACUUUUGAAAGUUUUUUGGUUUGCUUUAUACAUUUAUAACCUUUUCUCCUUCUGUGUUUUCUACGGUCUCCUUGAGUCAGUUGAAAAAGCACUUGGACUUUUAUACCUGGAAAUUUCUAAGUUUCCACUACUGGUUUAUGGUUUUGAAUUUUAAGAGCUGCCAAUGAAAAGCAAAAAGGUUUAUAAUUGACAUUUCUUCUUCAGGGAAGCAAACUAAGAAGCAGAAAUUUGAACUCACCUAUGGAAAAAAACAUGUUAAACAUCCACAUUGAGCUCUAAUAUGAAUUGAGAAUCAGAGUCAUCCAAAACGAGAAAAUUCUGAGAAACAGCAAUAGCAGCCUAUGGAGACAUGACUACAAAAUGUUAUAUGGUCUUCUGGUCAGGAUUCUGGAACAGAAGAACGACAUCAGCACUUCCUCUACUUAGACACACAAAGAAAGGCAACCUUUUUUGUAGCGCUUUGAAUAUAACUGUGUGAACCAUCAUCUCUUGGCAAAGUUUUCAAAAUGCUGAAUUUAUUUGCUUAGCUAUGAAAAUUAUUACACUUCUAAGACAAAGAAGACAAAAGAAACACCAACAUGGGUACAUCGUGGAUUUCCAAACAAAAGAAUGAGCCGAUCUCAAACAAGCAUUAACCAACCAGCAUGUUUCAUAUGAAAAAGUGAAAAUAUACUAUCUCUAUAAAUCCAUCAAAUAAAAAUAGCUUAGAGAGGAAAACA
rnacentral:lncRNA from 13 species